rnacentral:rRNA from 1 species
UACAGAGGUCUCAAGCGUUGUUCGGAUUCACUGGGCGUAAAGGGUGCGCAGGCGGUUGGGUGUGUCAGAUGUGAAAUCCCGAAGCUCAACCUCGGAACUGCGUCUGAAACUACUCGACUAGAGUACUGGAGAGGGAAACGGAAUUCACGGUGUAGCAGUGAAAUGCGUAGAUAUCGCGAGGAACACCAGAGGCGAAGGCGGUUUCCUGGACAGUUACUGACGCUCAGGCACGAAAGCAUGGGGAGCAAAAGGG